GUGCUCUCUUUGGCAGCACACAUACUAAAACUGGAAGGAUACAGAGAAGAUUAGCAAGGCCCCUGUGCGAGGAUGACAUGCAAAUUUGUGAAAUGUUCCAUAUUUAG